rnacentral:rRNA from 1 species
GAUGAACGCUGGCGGCGUGCCUAAUACAUGCAAGUCGAGCGAACAGAUGAGGAGAUUGCUCCUCUGUCGUUAGCGGCGGACGGGUGAGUAACACGUGGAUAACCUACCUAUAAGACUGGGAUAACUUCGGGAAACCGGCGCUAAUAGCGGAUAAUAUAUUGAACCGCAGGGUUCAAUAGUGAAAGACGGUUUUGCUGUCACUUAUAGAUGGAUCCGCGCCGCAUUAGCUCGUUGGUAAGGUAACGGCUUACCAAGGCAACGAUGCGUAGCCGACCUGAGAGGUGGAACGGCAGCCCCGGACCUGGGACAGGGUCCAGACUCCUAAGGGAGGCAGCAGUGGGGAAUCUUCCGCAAUGGGCGAACGCCUGACGGAGCAACGCCGCGUGAGCGACGAAGGUCUUCGGAUCGUAAAACUCUGUUACUAGGGAAGAACAACUGUGUAAGUAACCAUGCACCUCUUGACGGUACCUACUCAGAAAGCCACGGCUAACUACGUG